GACACCUGGGGAACGAUGCCUCAGCCAUAAUAGUGAACUGAGUGCUGAACUUCCAGCUCAUAGUGCAGCCUGCCCAUUCCUCUUGGAAAGGAGCUGUGAAUCUACAUCUCCUUCUGCACUUGGUUAGUAGGAAGGGAGAAAGGCAAUUAAGCUCCUCCAAAGGUUUGAGCUCAUGAGAUGUGAAACAGCGGAUGCUUGAAGUCAAUUUUUGGAUGAAGUGAUUUGUGGUUUUCUUCACAAGCUACUAUGGAAAGGAUUGGCUCAUUGGUCUGGAUGGAGCAAGGAAUGAUGAGAGUCAAUCUUGAGCCUGAAAUGUAUCCUGGGGUCUGGGGAAAAUGGGGUUUGAAAGAAUUCUGAACUCCAUUGGGUAUAUUCAGCAAUUUAAGUGAAACUAUACUAACCUCAUAAAUUAGCAGAACAUGAACUAGAAGACAAGUUAGUUCUUUAUGUGGCAAUAGACUUAUUACCCUGGCACUGACAACAUGACUAGUUGUGCUUUGUUCAAAACUUAGUAAACAAUGUAUGACAUUAGAAGUUGAAGCAUUAACUUACUUUCGGUUUAUAGCUUUGAGUCCCUAUGAGUUAUCCUCACAACUUCUUAGGUUACAUUUCCUGUUUACUGAGAUUUGACAUACAUUCAAUUGGAAAUUAUUAAGGCCCACUAUACACCAGGCACUUUGCUAGAUGUUGGGGAUACACAUAUAGCUUAAAAUUUAUUAGAAUUCUAGGUGUAAUAGAUUUUUAGAUGUUACUCAUCAUCUGUUGGUUUUCAGAUAAUAAUUAGCCUCCGAGAUUCUAUGUGGGGGACAUUCUGAUGAUUUCACUGUUAUAUUCAGAGAGAGAACUCUGAGUUCUUGGCAUACAUGGAUCCAUUCCACACUUUGAGAAUUGGGUGAGGUCCUCUGGAAUGUUCUAGGAACCCAGUAUUGACAUUUGCUAAUGAAUACAGCAUUCAAUUCUUCUUGUAAGUCUUAAGGGCAAUGGUUUCUAUGUCUUUUCACCUGUGAGUAAUGAAGAAGCAAUUUUGAUGAAAAAAACAACAACACACAAAUAAAGCAAAAACAAAUUUUCCUGCACAUGGUCUUGUGGUUGUUUUUGAAAAGUACAAGAGAAGAUCUAGAUGGAUGUACUCCGAGUUGGCAGUGCAUAGAAAGUUCUUGGAUCCAG